rnacentral:rRNA from 1 species
AAUGAACGUUGGCGGCGUGGAUUAGGCAUGCAAGUCGAGCGAGUGUUUUGGAUUGAAGCUUCGGCUGAUUUUCAGGACUGAAAGCGGCGAAAGGGAGAGUAAACGUGGAUACGUACCCUCAGGCCCGGGAUAGCUGCGGGAAACUGCAGGUAAUACCGGAUAUGUCUCCGGACCAAAGGUGAGAUUCCUCCUGAGGAGCGGUCCGCGUCCUAUUAGCUUGUGGUGGGGUAAUGGCCUACCAAGGCGAUGAUGGCUAGCGGGUGUGAGAGCAUGACCCGUUCACUGGGCUGAUACACUGCCCAGACACCUACGGGUGGCUGCAGUCGAGAAUCUUCCGAAUGGGCGAAAGCCUGACGGAGCGACGCCGCGUGCKGGAUGAAGGCCUUCGGGUUGUAACCGCUGUCAGAGAGGAGUAAGUKAAGGGAGGUUCUCUWCUGGAACUGAACUAUCCUCAGGGAAGGACGGGCUAAGUUCGUGCCAGCAGCCGCGGUAAGACGAACCGUCCAAACGUUAUCGGAAUUACUGGGCUUAAAGGGUGCGUAGGCGGCUCUGCAAGUUGGGUGUGAHAUCCCAGGCUCAACCGUGNAACUGCGCUCAAAACUGCAGGGCUUGAGGGAGACAGAGNUGAGCGNACUUAUGGUGGAGCGNUGAAAUGCKUUGAUAUCA